AUGAGAAAUAUGAAUGUUGUCCCCUGCUCCACCGCAUGGUGCUUAUUUGAAGAUGCAGGGGUAGCUCCAGUAACCUCUGUUAGUAACAAGUCACCAGCUGAGCUGCACCGAUGGACCAGUACGUCCUGGCGAUCGUCCCUUGGACCGUUUGCUCCUUCGCAUUGUGCGGGUGGGACCUGGACGUGUACCUGUGCUACGUGCCUGCCCUUGGGUAGCCGAGCAGCUAAGGCAGCUCGGUACGUGGCAUGCCGUAAGCAGCUCCCCAGCAGUGCUGUCACUUGCAGAGAGGACCAGAGCUGGUGCACUGGGAACUCGCUGAGGGGAGGAUGGGGCCCUCAGGAAACCUCCCAGGACCAUCACCAAGGGCGAUGUCCUCCAGGAUGCCCUCUCCUAUGUUUUUCUUCCAGCCCACGUGAGCUUACAGCACGUGUUGUUUUGGCACUGGCUUUGAAGUAAAAUGGACCAGUGUUCUCUUCAGCCCUGAUUUUUUUCACACUUGUUGAAGGA
rnacentral:lncRNA from 1 species